rnacentral:lncRNA from 1 species
CGAGUAUUAAUACCUUAAAAAUACCAAUACGAAAAAAUACGCCGAAAAUACGUAUUAAAUAUGUUUUUUUCGUCUUUUUUUUAAAAUGAAUUAGGGUUUUGCAAAUACGUAUUUAAUACGUUUUCAUACGUUUUCAGUACGUAUUUUUCAAAAUAAAACCAUAGAACUUACUCACUUACAUGAAAAAGAUUUCAUCUCUCUCAAUUUCUACCAUUUCCUAAACUCUAAAUCCUCCAAUUUCGUCGCACCAUCGGAGCACCUUCUUCACCGCCGUCGAGACGGCCGUCGACGCCGUCUGUACCGCCGCCGAAGCGCGCCGCCUUCUGGAAACCCUAAUUCUGGGUAUGUUGUGCAGAUUAGGUGGAAAUCCUAAUAUUUGAAUGUGUGGGAUAAGGGCUGCGUGGCUUAGUAAAUAAGCUAGGGUUUGAUAGUGGGCUUGUGGGCUUGUGGGCU